rnacentral:ribozyme from 13 species
UUCUCUCUUUUUUCUCUCUCUUUUCUCUCUUUUUUUCUCUUCGAAACCACAAAAAAAACUUUGAAAAAGGAAAGAAAAGAAAG